UAAUAACGUGAAAGCUUUUUGGCAAGCUUGUAAAAUUCCAAAUGUUUUUAUUGCACAUACUGUGGUGAGAACUGUUUUUAAAUUUGAAAUAAUUUAAUAAAACUGAAGUGAAAAUAAAUGUAACAAAAUUAAAAUAUUGAAUUGACCGAUUUGGUAUGCAUAGUAGGUACAUACUUACGCAUGUACAUAUAUAUGUAUGUAUGUACAAUGCCGAAUAAAAUGCAAGUUUUUAUAAAUAAUAGAAGUUAAGAAAAAUAUACAUACAUACGUACAUGAAGGAGAUUUAACAAUUUUGGCUCUAAAACAUGUAAGCAACCGUCGUGGGUGCACCAGAAUGUAUCUUAGUAAGUGAAUUAGUGUAGCUACCUGCUCAGCCACUUCAACACCCAUUUACAAAUAUCUUGCCAUGAAAAGCAUUCAUAUAUGUAUACAUAAGUGCGCUGGGCAUUGGAUCGGUUGCGGUAAACUUACAUAGACGCUGGGGUGGUGGAGAAUAGCAGCAAGGCGAACAAGUUCAAAAGAAAAGUAUAAAAUGCAAUAGAAAAUGCAAAAAUAGUUUUAAGAACCACAAACGGUGUAAUGCAUAGUUGAAUUAAUACAAAUAAAUAAUGCAUAAAGGCAAAGGCAAGGUUGAAAACUGGUAUUGCUGCAAUAGCCGACGGUCGCACUGUGGGAGGAGACUGUGGUGGCAUAACAGCAACAAGACACAAUGGCAAUGGGUUGUUUUUAUUUUUAUGGACGUCGAUAUACUUGUUGAAUGUAGUACCUAGUUGUUGUUGCUGCUUAUGCUGCUUGUAUAUUUGAGAUCAAGAUCAAGGUUUUUCCCUCAGCUUCAUGUACUGCCCCCUUACUGGUAUGCUUGUAAGUUUUGUUAUCUCUUUUGUUGUUGUUGUUUUUUUAAACAACUAGUUGUUAGUAUACUGUGAUGUGAUGCCAUAACAAACUUCUAAACAACGCGACUUAGAGAUGUACGAAAAUGCUUAACUUCGCUGGAUCCAGCUGGGCUGCAACGAGGUUUGCUAGCGAAUAUUAAGAACACAUAAACUAGUAAAAAAGACUAGCAAAGAAGACACCACUCGCAAACGUUUCCUUUCCGUUGAGUGAACGUACGAAAAAUCAAAGCCAAAGUCAGAGUCAAUGGUAGAUUUAAAAUCUGCUAUGUAUAUAUAUAUGUACAUACUAUAUGUAUGUACUCACUCAUUCGAGUACUAGCCUAACAAAGUUUAUUCAAAACCCGUGUUAAAAAGUAUACAGCAAGUAAAAAAAAGCACUUUCAACAACAACGGAUGGGGUAUAAGAAGAAUACGAGUAAAGUCAUGAAAAGAAGCAGGCGAAACAAAGUUGGCAACCAACUAUUACGUCUGUUUGGCUGGGCACGUUUUGUUUGGCCGUUGACUACGACCGCGACCAUGGCGGCAAAGAGGCCUCGUAUGUAUCAUCAGUCAAAGCAGGAGAAUGUAUCUAGAGGACAAAUACAUAAGCACGUUUGCAUACAUACAUACAUACAUAUAUACUCAUGCCACAUAUCAAGUAAUAACGCUAGUGUGCGCGCAUGCGCCUUGUAGUUGAAUUUAAAAUAGCUGACUAAAGAAUUCCAAAGCUCAUGCAGAUAUUGGACACAGUGGUAGUAGAAGAGCAACAUCAGUGGUAUAGGCCUAAAGAGACUACUAAACAGCGAGAAAUGUAUACAUACAUACAUACAUAUAUACACAUAUCGCGUGUGUAAUAUAACCAGUUUAUCAUUUCUAAAUAUAUAUUUGUACAUACAUAUGUAUGUACGUAUAUCGGCAAAGUGCAAGCGCAUAAGAAGUGCACACAGUGCCAUCACGCUAGAAUGAGGUGUUGGAAGACUAUCUCUGCUGUCGUUUGAAUUAUAGCGCCGUGUCGCUAUAUAUUGUAAUAAAAAAAAUAAUUAUAUAAAUUGCACGUAAAGUGUUAUAAUUUGAUUUUUAUAAAAGUAAGAAGAUAAUGCCAAUGAAAUAGCGACGAAAAAAUAUAAAAAAGGCUUUAAAUGCCGCAAAAAACAAAAAAAACAAAGAUUUCGUAUGUGCUACCAUAUAAAUUAUGGCAUAUUAAGUAUAAGCCAUAAAUAAAAGUACUGUUGGUUUUUAGCGUUU